AGGAGUGUGCUGCUCCCCAUCCUGGCACUGUGGGCGGGGAGCUGCUCAGGAGGGGCCCCACCAACCCCCAUGGGCUUGGCUACCCUGCAGCUGCUGCCCAGCCCACCAGGGGCCCCCGACGGUCAGCUGCAGCCCAUCCCUGGCAUCGGCCACCCAGACAAGCCUGAGGCUGGGAAGCUGGACCAGUUGCGGGAUCAGCCCACCCCGAAGCAGGGAGCUCAAGGAACCCCCACCCAGUCCCCCUCCACUGGCUGGAAAGCGCUUCCCAGGCCAGGGCUGGCCCUGAGGAAGGAGUCACCCCCAGUGACCUUGGAGCAGGAGCAGGGUCACAACAAGGGCCUGGUCGCUGAGUGGGCUCAGCCCCAGGCCACAGCUGCCAUGAGGGCUGGGGCAGGGAAGCCCGAGGCCUUGAAGCUGAGGCCCUGGCAGGCCGGCAGGGACCCUCAAGCUCAAGAGGGGGCAGCAGUCACCGAGGAGGACCAGGGCCAGAGGACAGGAGGCCGGGAAGACAAGGGAAGGGGCCUGAAACCCAGGAGGCCCCCCAAAGGGACCUCCCAUCAACCUGGGCUGAGGAUCCGGCGCCCACAGAAGGACCGCAGCCGAGGCCAGGGUGGCGGCGGCAGCACCUCCAAGACCCCAGGCCAUGGGUGGAAAAGACCAGGAAGCACACAUGGGCACAGGCACAGGCACGCAGACCUGGGCACCACCCAGCAGGCCAUGCCCUCUCUGCCGGCCUCGUGCCUCCUGGCCCAGGCAGUCAUCGCCUGUGGCAAUGUCAAGAUGAAGCAUGUCCCUGCCCUGACCCACCCUGGUCUGACCACACUCUACCUGGCAGAGAAUGAAAUUGCCAAGAUCCCAGCCCACACGUUCCUGGGGCUGCCCAACCUGGAGUGGCUGGAUCUCAGCAAGAACAAGCUGGAUCCCCGAGGCCUGCACCCCCAUGCCUUCAAGAAUCUGAUGCGGCUGAAGCGGCUGAACCUGGUUGGGAACUCGCUGACCACAGUCCCGGCCCUACCUGCCUCCCUGCAGGAGCUCAAACUCAACGACAACCUCCUGCAGGGCUUGCAAGGCAGCAGCUUCCGUGGGCUCAGCCAGCUGUUGACGCUGGAGGUGGAAGGGAACCAGCUGCGUGACAGGGACAUCUCCCCCUGGCCUUCCAGCCCCUCUGCAGCCUGCUCUAUCUGAGGCUGGACCGGAACCGGCUGCGGGCCAUCCCACGCGGCCUGCCGUCCUCCCUGCAGUUGAGCUGGAGCCCCCAGGAUGGGGAGGCAACAUUGUUACCAUCAAACAACCCUGCCUCUGCUUCUGCUGAGGGGGCGUGGAGCAGCCCAUAGGGGGAUCUGUGCGCUGAAACUCACGAGGCUUCAGGCCUCUCCUCAGCUUGACCUAACCUUCCAGAAGCCCACAGUGGGACCUCCUGGAUGGCUCUGCACCCUCUGGGUUCUCUGAGAGCUGCACCUGGGCACCAACCUCAUCGAGGAGGUGGCGGAGGGCGCACUGAGCCACAUCCACAGCCUCAGCGUGCUGGUGCUCAGCCACAACUGGCUUCAGGAGCACUGGCUGGCACCCCGAGCCUGGAUUCAUCUCCCGUGAGUGGCAGUCCCAGAGCUUCGCCCCAAUGGGCAUUCGGAGGCAGAGAGCAAGGAUGGCCCAGAGCAGCCCCGAGAGGAAGCUGGAGACCCUUGACCUGUCCUACAACCGGCUGGUGCACGUGCCCCGCUUCCUGCCGCGGGGCCUGAGGCGCCUGACGCUGCACCACGACCACAUCGAGCGCAUCCCUGGCUACGCGUUCGCGCACAUGAAGCCAGGCCUAGAGUUCCUGCACCUGUCCCACAACAGGCUGCAGGCUGACGGCAUCCACAGCGUGUCCUUCCUGGGCCUGCGCGCCUCGCUGGCGGAGCUGCUCCUGGAUCAUAACCAGGUGCAGGCCAUCCCACGCGGCCUCCUGGGCCUCAAGGGACUGCAGGUGCUGGGCCUGAGCCACAACAGGAUCAGACAAGUGCCCUUGAAUUCCAUCUGUGACAUGCGCGUGGCUCAGGACUCCAACCUUACCUCCACACACCUGGAGAACAACCUCAUUGACCGGCGCCGCAUCCCGCCCACUGCCUUCUCCUGCACCCGAGCCUAUCACAGCGUGGUCCUCCAGCCCCAGCGGCGGGGGGAGGAGGGCUCCUAGUCCUGCCUGCCGCCUUCCUCCAGCACACACUCUGCUUCUCGAGGGGGUGGAGGGGCAGGCUGAGGUGUGCUUGGCCUUUGCACCACUGGGAGAAAGGUCUAGAAGACCCCACUGCUUCCAGUGCACCCACUUCCCAUUGACUGGUGAGGCCGCUUCACUUAGCAAAUGGCCCAGGGGCGAAAGGUGGCACUGGUUUGUACUUGAACAUAAUAAAUGCAGCUUGGGCAGGCUCACCAGCCAGCCUCCCUCCC